rnacentral:rRNA from 1 species
AUACGUAGGUGACAAGCGUUAUCCGGAUUUAUUGGGUUUAAAGGGAGCGCAGGCGGAGAUGCAAGCGUGACGUCAAAUUUCGGGGCUCAACCCCGUCUCGCGUCGCGAACUGCGUCCCUUGGUUGCGGGAAGGGGAGGCGGAACUCGUGGUGCAGCGGUGAAAUGCAUAGAUAUCACGAAGAACUCCGAUCGCGAAGGCAGCCUUCCGGCCCGUCAACGACGCUCAUGCUCGAAGGUGCGGGUAUCAAACAGGAUUAGAUACCCUGGUAGUCCGCACAGUAAACGAUGGACACCCGCGGUUUGGCCUGUAUGGCUGAGCCGCCAAGCGAAAGCGUUAAGUGUCCCACCUGGGGAGUACGCCGGCAACGGUGAAACUCAAAGGAAUUGACGGGG